rnacentral:rRNA from 1 species
AACGAACGCUGGCGGCAUGCCUAACACAUGCAAGUCGAACGCCUGUAGCAAUACAGGAGUGGCAGACGGGUGCAAAACGCGUGGAAACCUAUCCUUGGGUUCGGAAUAACCGCGGGAAACUGCGGCUAAUACCGGAUACGUCCUUCGGGAGAAAGAUUUAUCGCCCAUUGAGGGGUCCGCGUCUGAUUAGCUAGUUGGUGAGGUAAUGGCUCACCAAGGCGACGAUCAGUAGCUGGUCUGAGAGGAUGAUCAGCCACACUGGAACUGAGACACGGUCCAGACUCCUACGGGAGGCAGCAGUGGGGAAUAUUGGACAAUGGGCGCAAGCCUGAUCCAGCAAUGCCGCGUGGGUGAUGAAGGCCUUCGGGUUGUAAAGCCCUUUUGGCGGGGACGAUGAUGACGGUACCCGCCGAAUAAGCUCCGGCUAACUUCGUGCCAGCCGCCGCGGUAA